UACGUAGGGUGCGAGCGUUGUCCGGAAUUAUUGGGCGUAAAGAGCUCGUAGGCGGUUUGUCGCGUCUGCUGUGAAAACCCGAGGCUCAACCUCGGGCCUGCAGUGGGUACGGGCAGACUAGAGUGCGGUAGGGGAGAUUGGAAUUCCUGGUGUAGCGGUGGAAUGCGUAGAUAUCGGGAGGAACACCAGUGGCGAAGGCGACUACCUGGCCUGUUCUUGACGCUGAGGCGCGAAAGCUAGGGGAGCAAACGGG
rnacentral:rRNA from 1 species